AGAAAAAUGCUGAUUUAAAUUUAAGGAGCAUUUAAUUCACUCCCGAGGAAAGGACGUUUCUUCUCAUCACUGUGGAGUCGGACUUUGACACCUGGAACUGUGCAGCUAUCUGGUGAAGCUGGUGAGAGAUGGGAGGAUGGAAAAAUGAAGAGGCUUUGAAUCCUCGCUGACACUGAUGAACUGCUGCCUCAACCAGCCCUGGCACCUGAAUUGCCUUUGCGCUGCCAGAUAUUAUAGACCCUUAUGGCUGGGAAUCUGUGUUACUUGAAGGCUCCCUACCCGCCUUCCUCAUGUGGACUUGAACUUAUGAAACCAUAGAGUAAAGCAGCGCUGGCAUUAGCAAACAGAGUGCCUUCCAAAGAGCAGAUAUAACUGUUUUAGGUAUUAUGUAUUCAUCCAAGCUUGAAACACCAAGAGCACAUUGAGUGAUCUGAGUCCCGAAGCAAGAAAAAUCAAUUUUAUUUAAACUACAACCAACAGUAUCUCCCGUGCUCCUCACAGCGAAGAAAUCACUCUUCCUUUAUUCUUAAAAGAGGGAGCAGGAAAGGACACCCAGUGAAAAUGAAGUACUUUUCUUACGUUCCCAAUAUAAUGCUGCAAGAGUGAAGUCAUCACCCUUGGAUUGCAUGUUAACUUCAGG